rnacentral:rRNA from 1 species
CACGUAGGGGGCAAGCGUUGUCCGGAUUUAUUGGGCGUAAAGAGCUCGUAGGCGGUUUCGUAAGUCGGGUGUGAAAACUCUAGGCUCAACCUAGAGACGCCACCCGAUACUGCGAUGACUAGAGUCCGGUAGGGGAGUGUGGAAUUCCUGGUGUAGCGGUGAAAUGCGCAGAUAUCAGGAGGAACACCAACGGCGAAGGCAGCACUCUGGGCCGGAACUGACGCUGAGGAGCGAAAGCGUGGGUAGCGAACAGGAUUAGAUACCCUGGUAGUCCACGCCGUAAACGUUGGGCACUAGGUGUGGGAUCUUUCCAACGGAUUCCGUGCCGUAGCUAACGCAUUAAGUGCCCCGCCUGGGGAGUACGGCCGCAAGGCUAAA